rnacentral:lncRNA from 1 species
UUAUAAUUGAACGUAUAAAAUAUUGAAAAGUUCGCAGAGAACAAGUGGUCUUGAUAUUUUUAAGCGGCUUCAUACGUACCCUCUUUGCCUUUAAAUAGUCGAUUAAAAUGAUGUGCUUCCUCGAAACGAAUAUGGCUUGCAAAAAAAAGGGCAACGAGAGAAGAAGGAUAACACAUGCGAGGUAAAUGCUUAGGGGAUACGCGGGACGUAAUCGAUACGCAAUUACAUUAUCGUGUAAGCGGCAUGAAGCGGUUGCUCUCAAGAUAUAAGGCGAUUAAACUCUGAAUUAAUGGAGGACACGCGUAACGAAGCUUCGCCUUGAAAUUAGAUCGUUCGAAGAAGCACGAAAUCCGCUCAGAGCACCAGGCAUCAAGAAGGACGACACGCUAGUAAAGGAUGAACACGAUCGAGGAGUGGGGAGGAUCGUCGAAUGGGAGUCUGGCCACGAAUUGCUCGGCCAAGAAUUCGCGAAACAUUUUUGGAACAUCAUUUUGUAUCCGAUUAUGGAACGACGACAGAACGAGAACGGUCGAGACUGGCCGACCAACUAGCUGGCAGCUGGCAGGACCUCUAUAGAAAAGCAAUAACUCGUGCCCGUAGGAAAUGAACGAUAGGCAAUCGACUAUUGGAUAUCGAACCGAGAAUUCGAUACGUAACUACGCUGCUUGUCUCCUAGUAGGUCGCUAGCUAUGGGUCGGCCACUUGUCCGCUUCUGCUCCUGCCUCUGCCGGUAGUAACUUGCUAGAUGUAGGUUGAUUGCCUGCCCGAUAGGGGCGCACUCUUCUUUUUUUCUUCUUUUCCAUGUUUCAUGGCCGAAGCAAACUUGAUUUUCGCACAGGCACAUGUAUCAAUGGCCAAAAAUUUUCGUCUACGUGUUCUAAUUCACCGAGUGUAACCAAAAAUUAAAAUUUUGUGAUAAAAUUUCUAUCUAUAGCUCCAAGUUUUAAUCAAUAUCAAAAUUAGCGGAAAAUUCGAUGAAGAUGUAAAGUGAUAAAGUGAUUCUAAAAUUUUGAUUGCUAGUAUACACAGUAUGCCUUCGAAAUCAUGGUUGGAUGAUGUUAUGUGCAAAAAUAAAUCGAGAAAUAAGAAUAAUACUUUUUUAAGAUUUCGUUUUGAGGCAUAAACCGAGAGUUAUAGCGAGAUCGUAAAAUUAGUCCAGCGAAAAAGCCGAAUAUGUUCGUAUUGAAGAAUUCCAGGGACAUAAAAAAAUUUCAUCACGACGUCAAUCGUAUCAUCGGAUUGACACGAUAAUUUACGAUCAAUCCAUACCUCCCAAUGCAGAAAGAUAUAAACUCGAAAGAAUACUACUCACAUCUAUGUUAUUGCCUUCAUUUCUCCUCUUUUCUCCAGAUUCUCUUAUCCACGAUUCUUUCGUCAGAUUUAUUCGAUAUAUUUUCCCGAAACAUAUUUUCCAAAUUUCCGACUCGUUCGUAAGAAGUAUCAAUUUCCGAAUGAGUUUUGUCAGAUUUUUUCUUUUUUUUUUUUAGCUUAUGGACAUUAUUAACGAGAAAUUUCCGCUUUGACAAGCGUGGCCGGGCAACAUAGCCUAGAGGAGAUUUGCUCUUUGAAGAAAGAUGCCAGAAAACUGAAUACACUCGUUUUAGACACACAGGCAACAGUGAGGAAUAGAAGUAAAAUGAGCAAGUUGAAUUGAAGCAUACGGCCAGAUUCCAGCUGGGGGCGGUGGCUCGUAAACAGUCGGUUGAAAGACGGACCCAUCUCUUAAACCUUUACCUGAGACGACGUCUGGAAUUGAUGUGUGUCAUCUUUGAUAGCGUCGGCGUGGCUACAUCGAUGAAACGUAAUUAAAGAGCCAACAAAGGGAAGAAAAUACAGUGUACACAGAAUAAUGGUGUAGAAAAUUAUAUUUGCAGCGACCAGUUAGAAAUUUUCAACGUUACGUUACGUCAAUGGUUGUGAAUAUAUUAUAACUUGCACAACACAAAGGAUCCAGUGGAUACUUGUUUACUUGUGUAAAGGGUCUUGUCAUCUUUUCAUAUUUUUGCAACAAUAAUAUUGAUGCUUGAACCUGGUUUCAGAAAUUUUAAUUUUCACGUUAUUGUUGUAUUAAUUUAUAUAUUUAUUACACGUGAAAGCAAUCGAUAGAUUAUUAA